rnacentral:lncRNA from 1 species
AAAGUCAAAUACUUGACUCAAUGUUUGAGGAUCAAGUAAGUUGAGCAUUAAUUUUUUUUACCUCAUAUUUUAAUUCAUAGAGAAAUUGGCUAAUAAGUACAGCAUCAUCCCACUUGAUAUCAGUUGCAAGUUUUCAAAAUCAUGAAGCGUACAAUAUUAUUGAUCGAUUAUCUUGUUGUAAAAUACAGAUCUUGUUGGUUGCAACAUGAAUUGCAUCAUGUUUUCCAUACAUGGAUCAAAACUUUGC